UUCGGGAUUGGGGCUAGGUGUAUUGGCAGAGCCCCAUUGACAGCUCUGGUCACGGUUGGGGGAGUCCUUUUAUACCCGUCUGUGCCCGUUCAAUGGGACCGAAUGCUAAUAAGCGAUAAUCAGGCUAGAGUUUCAUGAGAAAAGAUUUAGUUCAGCUUUGUUUAAGAAAGUACUGUUGGUGAAAAAUAAGACAUUUUCUGCGAUCUGUGGAGAAAUAGUCAGGAAGAGAAUGAAUUUUGUGUUUAUACAUGGUUCCUAAUGAGUAAGAGAUAGAAGUGCACAGCGUCAAGAUGUGACUGGAUCAACCUUAGUCAAGAAAUAUAAGUUUUGAAUUUAAUUUAUUUGGAUUACUUAUUCGUGUCGCUUAAUUGAAGUUCAUCAACAAAAAUGUCUUGGUUCAAAUUUUGGAAGAGUUCAAAAUCAAAAUCGAAGGACAUUAAAGAUGAAUACCAAAAGGAACUUAAAAGAGCGGAAUCACUAAGAGAAGAUUCCAAUUUAACGGAAGCGGAACGUGAAAAACAAAAAUUGAAGCACACACUGUCAAUUUCCCGAUCUGGGAGAUUCAAGCAUAAAAAGAGAGAACGGGGAGCGAUUCUGGAUAAACCGGAACUAUUUGAUAAAACAUUGGACAAUGGCAAUGGAGGAAGACCUACAGUGAAACCACCAAAUCCUCCAUCCGGGCAUUCACGAUCUCCAAACAACACAUGUCGAGAUGUUCGGGAUGUGUUUCAAUCUAACUAUACUUCCCAUGUGGCAGCGGUUUGAAAUUAUUCCCAAAAGUUGUACCAAAGUGUGCUUUUGCAAUAUACAUGAUUAAAUGCGUGCAUUGAUGAUAAAAUUAUAUAAAGGGCAAUAUUUAUUAAGAACAUUGAAGACAUUGUACUUAAAAAAUCAUACUUUGCAGGUCUUGUUGUCAAAGAAGUAACGUAGUGCUAUCCGAAAUUUCUCUGUCUCAGCUUGUUAACAGUGCUGUCGUCCAAAGUGUACAAAACUUUAUUACAAUGUAUUUUUUAUUUCUUCGCCAAAGUCAACAUGGUCAAGUUCGGAGUAUUAGUUAAGCAAUGAUUUGAUUUGGAGCUUUGAGGAAGUAGUUCAGCGCUAAAGAAUGGUUGCAAGGACCUUUUGUAUACAUUCAUAAAAUGUUUUUUGUACAUGUAUAUCGUAUUCUAUUAUGAAACAUUUUGUUUCACGUUUUAUAAAAUUAUAUUUUGUUACAUUGUAUGCCCAUUCUGACAUAGAAUUGAUUGUUGCUUUUUCAAUACAUUCCUAUUUUCAUAAAUUGUCAAUCCCGACCUUUCACUGCUUUACCGUGAAGAAUUCCAAAAACCUCAAUUUGAUUUAGAACAAUCUCCUUAUAAUGAUUUAAAGCUUUAUUUAGUUAGUGCCAAUAACCCAAAGAAAUGAUUUUUCACUUUGAUUUCAUAUAGAAAAAAUGUCCUUUUUGAUCCUUUAAAAGGAAUAUAAUCACCGCGUACUAUUGUUCCAAAAAUGAAAAACCUUGAUUUUUAUCUCGUAUUUUCUGCUCGUUGCGACGAGACGUCUCUCUCGUGUUGUGUACGAAAACAAUGGAGGUGAAAACAAUUCAGUAGAACUCAAGUUCUAGAUGACUUCUAGAUGUCAUUUUAAUCACCAAUCGUUUUUAAGUUACGACUGUUUUUAAGGACUUCAUUUACAAUAUUACCCAUGCAUAAACAACUUGCUUUUUGAACUAUGAAAAGAAGCUAGGUUAUACUGUAGUUGAAUAUGCAACUGGUGUGAUUUGAUAAAAGUGUAGUUUUCUUAUUUUAACGUGGUCAUUUGACUACAGACUGUACCGGAGGUGUUUAGAGAAAUGAGUUGUAUGUUGGAAUAAAUCCAUAAAAUUCUUCUGUGAUUAUCUAUGUUUGUAAUGCAUAUGUUUUGUUUAACAUAAUAAAAUACGACAAAAACCAA